rnacentral:tRNA from 1 species
GAAUCUAUAGCUCAGUUGGUUAGAGCGCUACAUUGACAUUGUAGAGGUCAGAGGUUCGAAUCCUCUUAGGUUCACCA